UACACGUAUCACCACAGAUUUUAUUCCGCAAGUUGUUAUUACUUUUCCUACUUUUUAAAUUUAAAAUAUCUUCUUCUUAUGCCAUUACUGAAGCAUGUAAUAAUUGUUAAAGUAUAUUCUAGAUCAGAAAAAAAAAAAAAAACAGAGAAAUGAAAAAUGAAAAAUGCAAUGAGAAAGACAAAGUUGAUAACAUCAGUUUCAUCGGAUGAUUAAUUAUCUGAGGGAGGGAAACUUAAAGAGGAACUGUUGAAAAUGAGAGAGUAGAAAAAAGAGCGAAGCAAACGGAGAGGGAUAUGAUAUUUUAAUUAUAUGUGGAGGCAGUGAAAAAGGCAAUGAUAAACUCACCUCGACCGGAACAUCAGUCCGAGCAUCAACGACGUUGAGCCUCCAUUUUCGCCCUUCAGCGAAGGCGUCUCCGGAGCCACCCCAAAGAUUCCAACCUCCAAUCUCCUCAUCAGAGCAACCUUCGUAUUGGAUACUAACAACUCUAGUGUUGAAUCUGAUGUGCUUCAACAAUCCGAAA